AUGAUCAGCAGGUGGAUUCGCCGCGGCCUGAGGCUGUCACCGGCGGGAAUCGACAUCAUAGUCGACGGUAUCCCGAUGGACCAACCCUCCUAUUUCUCCAACACCGGCGCCAACCUUGGGCGCCUCACCAAGAUCCGCCUCGACGGCGUUCUCCUCAUCGGGGGCAUCGGUGAUCUCUUCGGCACCGACAUACUCCUCCCCGUCCUGCAAGACCUGGAGGUCAGGAACAGUGCCCUCGGGUACAUUGUGUCCGACACGCUGACGAACCUCACAGUCGUCUACGACUCCCCGGCGAGUACACAAACAUACGAGAUGUUUGGCCACAUCGCCGCUCCUCGCUUGGCGUCGCUGCGGUUCGAGUUGCCGCUCGCCCGUCUCGCCAACUUGGACUCCACCGUAGAGGAGCUACCUUGCCUUGCACAAGCAUCCAUCCGCCUACUCCACGAGACUCCUCAGCCGUGGAGCGGGGACGAUGACGAUGAUGACGACGACGACGACGAUGAACCAGACACUACACGUCCGGUGAUAAGCAAUCUGUGCACCCUCCUCGGCUUUCUGUGCAAUGUCACCAGCUUGCACCUCUCUGGUUUCCAGGAAAUGGCACGUACGCACGCCGUGCUGCUGCAGGCAGUGCUGGAUGAACCUUGUUGCGUGUUCCCCAACCUCAAAAGCUUGGUUCUGGACGAUUGUAACCUUGGCGACGGACUGCAAACUCUCUGGCGUUUUCUACACAACACUCCUGCCCUUGAGCGGCUGGCUCUCAGAAGUUGCAAGCCUUGGGCGCCUCACCAAGAUCCACUCGACAACGUUCUCCUCCGUGAGGCCAUCGGGGAUCUCUUCGGCACCGACAGCCUCCUCCCCGUCUUGCAAGACCUGGAGAUCAGGAACAGUGCCCUCGGCUACAUUGCGUCCGACACGCUGACGAACCUCACCGUCGUCUAUGACUCCCAGGUGAGUAAUCCCACAUACGAGAUGUUUGGCCACAUCGCCGCUCCUGGCCUGGCGUCGUUGCGGUUCGAGUUCCCGCUCGCCCGUCUCGCCAACUUGAACUUCACCAUGGAGGAGCUACCUUGUCUUGCCAAAGCAUCCAUCCGCCUACUCGACGAGACUCCUCAGCCGUGGAGCUAG
rnacentral:rRNA from 1 species